ACGAUCUGGCAACCCCAGAUCACUCGAUUUUCGUUAAUUUAAUUUUCUGCGCAAUUGCCCGUAUACAGAAAUUCAAUUCAGAAUAUUCAUUUGCUAUAAAGAUAUUCCCACAUAUUCGAGCCGUGAAGUGGCGCUGAUCGGGAAGCAGACUGUGGGCCCUGCGUCGCCAAUGGAAUCCAGUUCGAGUAUCUAUUAAUUCCUGCACGGAGUGUUCAUCUGCAGGGUGCUUGGAUGGACCAGCGAAAAAUUCCACUUAGUCGAUCGGGAACAAACGGCAAGUCAUAUUAAACUGAAAACAGCAACAAAAGACAUUUGGUUUGGUUUUGCAUUUUUGUCACUUUGGCACUUUGAAGUUUUG